CACAGUCAUUAUAUUGUCAGUAAUCUUACUAUGAGAUGUGGAGGAUAUAUUUUUAGAAACUUCAUAAUAAUUUAAUCAAGAAUCAGAACUUAAAGUUUAAUGGAUGUCUUAUUUAUUAUAUUACAGUAUUGUCUUAAGACUGAUAAUAACUUUUAUAUUUUUAGUGCCUUCCAUUUUGGCCUGAAAAUCUGUCAGGCAAACUUUGUGUAAGAGUGGUGGGCUGUGAAGGAUCUUCCAAACCAUUCUUUUAUAACCGACAGGAUAAUGGCACUUUAUUGAGCUUAGAAGAUCUGGAUGGGGGUAUCUUGGUGGAUAUAAACACUGCUGAACAUUCAACUGUCAUAACUUUUUCUGAUUACCAUGAGGGAUCUGCACCUGCCUUGAUAAUGAACCAUACACCAUGGGACAUCCUCACAUACAAACAGAGGUAUGAGAAAAAAGGGGUAAAUGGGAAAUACUUAUAUUGGUCCACAGUAACUUCUGGGAAACACUUUGGUUUCAUGUUCAAAAUGUUUUUAGAUUUUAGAAAGGUGAUAUGGAACACAUGGUGUUUGAAUACCCUUAGCAUGUUUUGAGAUAACACUCUGUAAACACGUUAAUAUUUCUGCAGCAAAAAUGAU
rnacentral:lncRNA from 1 species